rnacentral:lncRNA from 1 species
GAAGCUGUUUCUGGUCUAGAAAUGAAGUGUUGUCAUGUUCACAUCCAGCCAGCUUGGGGUCUGAAGGGAAGUGUACAAUCUGUGAGAAGACUGUGUGCUACUCUGCAAAUUGCAGAUAAUUACUCUGAACAGAGAAGUCCUUUGAAGUUGCUGCAUGAGGUCAGUAGAAAGUGUGUGAAGCACCCACAUGAAAUGAAUCUUUUGUUCAUUACUUCUGUGCUCACAGAGGGGUUGACUGCAUUGGGUUAUUCAUCUUCUUUCCCUAUGGAAACUGACUGUGGAGUUCUGUGCCAGGCCCAG